AGAAGACCAACAAAAGGUUACUCCCUCUGAUGAAUGAAGUAUUUCUCAAAAUUGCAUUUUGAAAACACGCAGCUGCUUCUUGACAGUAGUCUGCUUUUCAGUACCCAAGAUAGUUUCAGGCAUCAUCUGUGAAGACCCAGUCUCUCUUGCAAUGUUGUAUUGCUGACGUUGUCUACAGGAAUCUUGUAGACUAAGGGCAUGUCUACACUUCCGGAGUGAUCGAUCCAGCGGGGGUCAAGUUAUCGUGUCUAGUGAAGACGCGAUAAAUCGAGCACCGAGCCCUCUCCCGUCGACUUUGGUACUCCACUGGAGUGAGAAGCGUAGGCAGAGUCGACGGGGGAGCGUCAGCAGUCAACCUACCACAGAGAUGGACACCGCGUUUCUUUCUACAAUACCUCCUUUGGAGAUCAUAUAUGCCCAGUGUUGACAACGCUUGUGAUUUUAUUGCAAGUCUCAUGAUACUUGGUGGGUUUUUAAAGUUCCUAAAUUCAUAUGAAUACAUGAGACUCUUUUGUUUGUUCAUAAAAAAAAAUUUCUAGCCCUCCUGGUUGUGGGAAAAAAUCUUGAAAAAG